AUUGAACGCUGGCGGCAGGCUUAACACAUGCAAGUCGAGCGGAGAGAGGUAGCUUGCUACUGAUCUUAGCGGCGGACGGGUGAGUAAUGCUUAGGAAUCUGCCUAUUAGUGGGGGACAACAUUUCGAAAGGAAUGCUAAUACCGCAUACGUCCUACGGGAGAAAGCAGGGGAUCUUCGGACCUUGCGCUAAUAGAUGAGCCUAAGUCGGAUUAGCUAGUUGGUGGGGUAAAGGCCUACCAAGGCGACGAUCUGUAGCGGGUCGGAGAGGAUGAUCCGCCACACUGGGACUGAGACACGGCCCAGACUCCUACGGGAGGAAGCAGUGGGGAAUAUUGGACAAUGGGCGCAAGCCUGAUCCAGCCAUGCCGCGUGUGUGAAGAAGGCCUUAUGGUUGUAAAGCACUUUAAGCGAGGAGGAGGCUACUUAGAUAAUACCUAGAGAUAGUGGACGUUACUCGCAGAAUAAGCACCGGCUAACUCUGUGCCAGCAGCCGCCGUAA
rnacentral:rRNA from 1 species